CCUACUUAUUCUUUAUUGCCACUGUGGAAACAAUAGUUACAAAUGCAUUAAUCUUACUGCACUCUCUUUUUAACCGUUCAUUCUGGAGUAUGUAAUACAUUUAUCUUUCAGUCCCAUGGGUCUGAUCUGAAGACUAUUGAAAUCAAUGGAACAAUUCACAGUGCUUUCAGAGAAUACUGGAAAUGCAUUAAAAGCAUGUUGGGGCACAUUCAAGUUGAAGAUAUUUCCCGCAAGGUCUCAUUCAUGCUACAGUCACACCAGGACAACAACUCCAACAUAUAGCAAACUAAUGUCAAACAAAUUUUCUGAUUGCUGGGUAUUGUUUCUCCUGGAACAUGUUGGAUACCUCUGAGGUAGGAUUUGUCGAUGUCUUUAUGUCUCCAUCUCUUAUCAUGACUGACAGUAUUAGAAAUAUCUGGGUUUUUGCAUACUUUCUUUCUCCUUAGUUUCCUAAAAUCUUUUCUCAUGUUGAA